AAAACAGAACAAAAUAAUAACUAAAAAAUUGAAUAUUAAUCCUACUCCUAAAAUGAUAAAAUAAUAAUUAUCCAAAAAUUACAAUCCUUAAAAACAAAAAAGUUUAAUAGUCUUUCUCAAAAUCCAUCUACUCAUCCUCUUCUCCUUCCUUAUUCCUACUUUCUUCCUCUUCAUCACUCUCUUUCUUAUCUUCUUUAUGC
rnacentral:lncRNA from 1 species